rnacentral:lncRNA from 12 species
CGGGGCAGUUGUGAAACUCUUGGAAUUGCUGUUGGUUCUAAUUAUUUGGAAAAAUCUACUUACGGAUGCUUUUGGAAUGGUUUCACUGCUGAACGAGCUUAACUCCAGAGCCCACAAGAGAAAGGCAGAACUAACAGCAGGGAUAUCACUCGAAACUUUUUCCGUUGGUGGUUGCAGAUUGAAGGAAGAACUGAACCCAUUUUCUUGCUAAUCCAGUGCCAAAUGCUGAAAACUUGGACAACUCCGAAGACAAGAAAACACUGGAAACGUCAACGGUCCCACGUUCCAAAGGGAACCAUGGUUUACAGAGUUCAGAAAUACUAUCAAAGUAAAGAAGAAGAAGAAGAAGAAGAAAGAAGAAGAAGAAGAAGAAGAAGAAGAAGAAGAAGAAGAAGAAGAAGAAGAAGAAAGAAGAAGAAGCAGCCCAACAUAUUACCU